UAGAACGCUGAAGGAGGAGCUUGCUUCUCUGGAUGAGUUGCGAACGGGUGAGUAACGCGUAGGUAACCUGCCUGGUAGCGGGGGAUAACUAUUGGAAACGAUAGCUAAUACCGCAUAAUAGUAGAUGUUGCAUGACAUUUGCUUAAAAGGUGCAAUUGCAUCACUACCAGAUGGACCUGCGUUGUAUUAGCUAGUUGGUGAGGUAACGGCUCACCAAGGCAACGAUACAUAGCCGACCUGAGAGGGUGAUCGGCCACACUGGGACUGAGACACGGCCCAGACUCCUACGGGAGGCAGCAGUAGGGAAUCUUCGGCAAUGGGGGCAACCCUGACCGAGCAACGCCGCGUGAGUGAAGAAGGUUUUCGGAUCGUAAAGCUCUGUUGUAAGAGAAGAACGUGUGUGGGAGUGGAAAAUCCACACAAUGACGGUAACUUACCAGAAAGGGACGGCUAACUACGUGCCAGCAGCCGCGGUAAUACGUAGGUCCCGAGCGUUGUCCGGAUUUAUUAGGCGUAAAGCGAGCGCAGGCGGUUAGAUAAGUCUGAAGUUAAAGGCUGUGGCUUAACCAUAGUACGCUUUGGAAACUGUUUAACUUGAGUGCAGAAGGGGAGAGUGGAAUUCCAUGUGUAGCGGUGAAAUGCGUAGAUAUAUGGAGGAACACCGGUGGCGAAAGCGGCUCUCUGGUCUGUAACUGACGCUGAGGCUCGAAAGCGUGGGGAGCAAACAGGAUUAGAUACCCUGGUAGUCCACGCCGUAAACGAUGAGUGCUAGGUGUUAGGCCCUUUCCGGGGCUUAGUGCCGCAGCUAACGCAUUAAGCACUCCGCCUGGGGAGUACGACCGCAAGGUUGAAACUCAAAGGAAUUGACGGGGGCCCGCACAAGCGGUGGAGCAUGUGGUUUAAUUC
rnacentral:rRNA from 1 species